GACGGGGGGGCAAGUGUUCUUCGGAAUGACUGGGCGUAAAGGGCACGUAGGCGGUGAAUCGGGUUGAAAGUGAAAGUCGCCAAAAAGUGGCGGAAUGCUCUCGAAACCAAUUCACUUGAGUGAGACAGAGGAGAGUGGAAUUUCGUGUGUAGGGGUGAAAUCCGUAGAUCUACGAAGGAAGCGCCAAAAGCGAAGGCAGCCUCUCUGGGUCCCUACCGACGCUGGGUGCGAAAGCAUGGGAGCGAACAGG
rnacentral:rRNA from 1 species